CGGGACGGGUGAGUAAUGCUUGGGAAUCUGGCUUAUGGAGGGGGAGUAAUACGGGAAACUGUAGCUAAUACCGCGUAAUAUCGAAAGAUUAAAGUGUGGGACCUUCGGGCCACAUGCCAUAGGAUGAGCCCAAGUGGGAUUAGGUAGUUGGUGAGGUAAAGGCUCACCAAGCCGACGAUCUCUAGCUGGUCUGAGAGGAUGACCAGCCACACUGGGACUGAGACACGGCCCAG
rnacentral:rRNA from 1 species